AUCUGCUUCGCCACUUGUGUGCUACACCUUUCUCUCUUUCGCGCGUGCUUUAUUUUGCGCCCCGUCUCCUCCUCUCUCUCUGUUUUGCUUUUCUCUUCGUCUUGGGCCUUUACGAUCCGCCGCAUCCAAGCGAACUCGCGUGCGCUCUCGCUCUCGCUCUUUCCGUGUUCGUGUUUUUCUGCGCGUCACGCUACUACACACACGCACACACAGCCCCCUCCCUCCUCCUGCUCGUCUCUGAGUCGCCCCCUUUUUGCAUCAGUUUUUUUUUUGCGUAUGGGCGGCUCACGUUAGCUGCCUCUCUUCACCUGCCUUCACCCCCCCCCCUUCACCCCGCACUCCCUCGCUUGCUGCUACUUGCACAACGGCAGCUCGCAGAUAUUUGCGCUCCCUUCUCGCACACGUACUGUGGAACCCCACGCGCUGUUCGCUGCUCCAUAAUUCGCGGCGUCGCCGGUCUCCGCAUGGCGUCAUCGGUAUUGGAUGAGAUGAAGGAGCAGAUGCUGAGGCGCUGCAGAGAAGACCAGAAGAAGAUCGACGACCUCAGGAAGAAGCACGGCCAUGAGAAGCUGUGCGACGCCACCAUCGAUGCGGUGUACGGCGGCAUGCGUGGCAUCACCGGCCUCGUGUACGAGCCAUCACUGCUGGACUCCGCGGAGGGCAUCCGCUUCCGCGGCCUCACGAUCCUGGAGUGCCAGGAGAUGCUGCCCAAAGCGCCGGGCGGCAAGGAGCCGCUGCCGGAGGCGAUGUUCUGGCUGCUGAUGACCGGCGAGGUGCCGACGGAGGAGCAGGCAAGGGGCCUGAACGCGGAGCUGCACCGUCGCGUCGACCCCGAGGCGAUUGCCGCGGCGCAGAAGGCGAUCGCGGCGCUGCCGAAGAACGCGCACCCGAUGACGGCGUUCAGUGUGGGCGUGCUUGCGCUGCAGACCUACUCGAAGUUUGCUGCGGCUUAUGCGGCGGGCAAGUCGAACAAGAAGACGUACUGGGAGUACGCGCUGGAGGACUCGCUGGACAUGCUGGCGCGCACGCCGGCGGUGGUGGCGAUGAUCUACAACCGCGAGACCAAGGGCCAGGUGGAGUUGGCCGCACCGAGCAACAGCGACCUGGACUGGGCGGCGAACUUUGCGAACAUGUUGGGCUUCCAUGACGAGGAGUUCCGGGAGUGCAUGCGUCUGUACCUGUCUGUCCACGCCGACCACGAGGGCGGAAACGUGUCGGCACACACGACGACGCUGGUUGCGUCGGCGCUGAGCGACCCCUACCUCGCCUUCAGCGCUGGCCUGAACGGUCUUGCUGGCCCGCUGCAUGGGCUGGCGAACCAGGAGGUGCUGAAUUACUUGCUCAGCAUGCAGGAGCGUGUGAAGGCGGACGGCGUGAACGUGCAUGAUGAGGCAGCGCUGGAGAAAGCGCUGACCAAGUACACGUGGGAGCUGCUCAACUCCGGCCAGGUGGUGCCCGGCUACGGCCACGCGGUGCUGCGCAAGGUGGACCCGCGCUACACCUGUCUGCGCAACUUCUGUCUGCGCCACAACUUCCAGGACGACCUGUUCAAGCUGGUUAACACCAUCUACAUGAUCAUGCCCGGCAUCCUGAAGGAGCACGGCAAGACCAAGAACCCCUACCCCAACGUCGACGCGCACUCCGGCGUGCUACUGCAGCAUUACGGACUGACAGAUCAGAACUGCUACCCGGUGCUUUUUGGCCUGUCGCGCCAGAUGGGCGUAUUGGCCGGCGUCGUCUGGGACCGCCUGCAGGGCCGCCCGCUCGAGCGUCCGAAGUCGACCACGACGGAGAUGCUCGCAAAGAAAUACCUGUGCAACUCCUUGUGAGGCAGCGUGAGGUCAUGUACACUUGGCGGACAGGCCAGGGAGACAGAGGAGGAGAUCGGGGCGAAGGGGGUUUGAGGAAAGUGCAGCGAGAGUUGGGCGCUUGAGCGAAGGAACUUGUUGAGGUGUGCCUGUUUCGUGCGUUGUAUCCACUCCUUCCUGCUCCGUGCAGAUCGCGCUUGUUGAUGAGCAGCGCGAGCACGUGUGGCCACAUCCCCCAUCCCCGGCCCCCCACCCCCUUGCUGCUAUGGCAAGGCGAUGUUUCGAUUUGUCCCCUCACUUGCCGAUAGAGAGGGUGGCAGGGAUGGGGGUGCGCGGGCGUUGUGGUGAAGCAGAUCAGGGUACGCACUCGCAAUCCGCAGGUAGUCUUCGGUUCAUUUUUUGAGGGACAGGCACCCAUGGCAAGGCAGAUGGUGAAUGCGAUGCCCUCAUCCCCGCCCCCCCCCUCCUCUGCUCCGUCCUCAUCUCAUGAACUGUAAAAUGCGUAGUACGAACGAGAUGCGCUUUACGAAGAGGAAGAUGAGGGACACACGUGUUGCCCCUAGUUUUCGGCAACGAUAGCGAGCGUGCAUGUGCACGCUCGCGCCUGCACACACCACAGUUCUCUUUGUGUAUUGUUACGUCUUUCCUUGUUGAUGUUCCUUUGCUGCUCUUGUUUUUUUUUUCGUGUGUGUUUACCAUCAUCAUCAUCGCUUCCUCACAUCUGCAUAAAUAACAAUCCCCCUACCCCUCUCCGAAAAAGCAAAAAAAAAAAACAAGAAAACGUCUUUUCGCGCUUCCCUACUCCUUCGCUUCAUCUCACUCCCGUACUCUCUCCCCCUCCCUCCCCUCCCCCCCCCCUGCCCUGUAUGUUGCGUCUGCACCCAUCAUCAUCCUUCAUCGUGAUCCGUAGCAUUGCACGUGCAUCUUCUUCCGUUUUUGUUUUUGUUUGGCUGCGUCCGCUCGUAUUGUUUCGUAUUCGGAGGGAAGGGGAAGGGAGGGGAGGCUUCGCGAUGCCGGGUUUGCGUCCGCUCUUUUUCGAUUUUUUUUUCGAGUACGUCUUUGCUUCUUUCUGCACUGCUGAUAACUUAUUGUCUUUUGUUGUUAUUUUUGUUUCCUACCGUGUCGCGGAGGAUGCUGGCCAUCUAGCCGCGGUACGAGAGCUCAGUGCUCACACACCCUUUCUGGGGACGCCGAGCAGCUUGCAGCCUGCUUUCGGUUAUGGCUAAGGACUCGCGGCGUCGCCGGACAGAGUGGGGCUGACGCUGUGCCGACGCUACCUGCGGUCAUGAUCACGUGUGGACCACCUCACUACAAAUUGCGUUUAUCAUUCAACAGGCAUAGAAAGCGAUGAGUUCUUUGUGCACGGGCACGUUAUUAUCUACAGGUCCCUUUCCGCUUGGCACAGCCACAUCUGGCAAAGGCGUGCGAAUUCAGGAGAGGGUCGAACACCCCAUGCCGCCGCAGACACAUAGAAGUGUCCCGCCUGUGGCGGCACGUGUGGGCAAGCCACCCAGAGACGCCACCCUCAAUGGCAUCGACUGGAAUGGAAAGGGAAGACAGCGAGUCCCCUCCCCAGGCAGCCACCUCGUCCUGAACAAGGUCCCGGGAUGCAGGAAUGCGUGCACUGUGCGCACGCGCUGUCAAGUACAGCUGGCACGGCGUAUCGCAUCCGCGCGGGGCAUCCAGAGGUCGGAAGAGCAACAGUGAUGGGCGAAGAAGGCGCGAGGUAAUCCAUACCGAUCAGCCCCAACGUGCAUGCAUGUGCGCGGCGCGUCCGGCGCCUCCUACGCCCGACCGGGUGGGCUGAUGCGGCAGAGAUGCCGCAUGCAUGACGAGAGCACCCCGAGCUACACCAUCGAGUCCUCCAGACUUUGGUGUGGAGAGUCUCCACACCAUAUGAUGACCUGCCGCGGCUUGAAGCGACUCGGGAGGGGGAGCGUGACUUGGAGGCAGGGUGCGCAGGAUCUCGGAGGGCCCUGGCCCGAGGCUGGCCAACUUCCUCGCUGAGCUCAUGUGGCAUGCACCUCCACCACCCCCUUAUUACCCGCACGACGGAUUCCACCGCCUCCGUCCUCGAGCAGGACUCUCGAGGUGGCCCGCAUCGAUCAAGCCAUGCUGUCCACCCGGGGUCUCCGUCUGACGCCGGCCGCGCAGCACGCACCCGAAGAAGGGACGAGAAAGGCCAAGAAGCGCCUGCUAGACGCAUGGCCCGGCUCGACGGCAGGGCGGCUUGUUCUGGUCGAUCAGGGCUUAGCCAGAGACGGGUGAGCUGUGACUGUGUGUGUGUGUGCGUGUAUAUGCGCUGACUUGUUCGCGGCUGGGAAUGAGCGCACUGGGGAGAAAAAUGGCACGUGUUGGUGUAUAAUGCAUGCUUUCUGCGGCAAGGUCUCGGGCAAGGAGCACAGAGGAAAUGGAAGGAGAGAGGGGGAGGGGACUGGAGGGGAUAGCUGCAUCAACGUCCAGACGAGCUACCACCAUCAGCGCUGCAGCCCUACUGCCCCCCCCUUCAUCCACAAGCAGCCCUCCCUUGUCCCUCUGCUGCGGCCUUGUCUCCGCCCUCCUGCUCAUAUGUUCGCUUUUUUUUUUGCUACUCUCCUUACUGGGCGUCUUCCUUUUAGGUUUUUGGUUUUACUACCCGCCCUUCGCACUUCACCCUUUACUUCUCCCUUCGUUCCCCUCCUCCUUAGCUGUUGUGCCUUUUUACGUGAGACCUGCAAGCGAAAUAAUCCUCUGUACUUUGUGUGUCCUUGUCCGCGAUACUUUUCCCUUCUGAGCGUGCUUCAUGUCCUUGGCUGUGUCUGCAUCUGCGCUGGUUUGUGUGUGUGUGUUCUCCCUCUUAUUCUACUCUUCCUCGGUGUCCCUUGGUUCUGUUUUGCGUUUUUGAGCUUAUUGUAUAUGUCGUUUCUCUCCGCUACCACACACCCUUCUCUGCUACUACAGCUCGUCCCUCCCUCUUUCAGCGCUUCUCUUUUUUUCUUGACGUCUGAAGAGACGUAGUGAUAUAUAGUUCCAUAGAUCGGAAGCGUUCGUGGUCGGCGACCUCCACCCCUUGGCCUUCUUUUGGUGAGCUCUGCUUUUUUUUUCGUCUUGGGGUUGUGUCCACCUUGACCGCCGGUAUCUGUGUCUGUCUGUGUGUUAUGCCAUGUUGCCUGGAGAUAUAUAUAUAUAUAUGGAUGGAUGUAUAUACAUAUGUAUGUGUGUGUGUGCAUGCGUUUUGUUCCAGUAGGCUGCUUUCUUCGAUUCUAUUUGGGGAGGGGGGAUAAGCGCCGUCUCUCUCGCUCGCUGUCUUUGUUGCUACCUUCGCUCUGUGAGUCUGCUACUUUUAUCAUCGACCUCUUCGUUUCCAUUUUUUUCUUGGGCCUUCCUCCGCCUUCCUCGCCCUCUCUUCUCGCGAGUGUGUGCAAAGAAUGCGUGAGAGAGAGAGAAAGGGGAGGGGAUGGCGGAGGAGGGGCUUCUGCUCCUCACCUCGGUUUACGCGUAUUUUUCUUUUAUCUGGCGCCGUGUCUGCUCUAGUCUUCUUGCUUACUGUGUGUGCGCGCGCGCUUCGUUUCUGAUUGCUCGUUCGCCUACUCUUUCUCUCGAUGCCUUUCUUUGAAAUAACCCCAAAACGCAAAACCUCCAGCGUCUGCGCAUCCCUCAACAAUACGACCUCCUCCCCCUCCCUCCCUACCCCACCCACACGCACGCACACGCACAUGCACGCAUGCACAACCUCGAAUCACGCGUGGAUGAACCGACGCGCCAGCGACGUGAGAAGCGAAACGAAAAGGCGUCACUGCUCCCGUCGCUCUCCCAUCACCACCAACACCAACACCGCCACUCCUUGUAUACAUGUGCGUGUGUGUGCGUCUCUUGUGUUAUCGACAACUCACGGAGUAUUCGAUAACACACGGAAGUAAACAUUUUUUUUUGCUUUUCUUUGUUUUUUUUUUCUUCUUUGAAAACGAAGGGGAGAAGAACAGGAGAUGCGCGGGUGGCGAUGAAAGAGAAGGGUAAAGAGUUGGCAAUGGCGUGGUACAGAAAAAUGGGGAUGGGUGAGAUGCGUGGGCGGGAGGUUCCAUGUGCACGAGCACCAGUGGCAUGGUCCAUAACACCACCCACGCACCCCACCCAUCCCCCCUUUCUCUGUGCCACUCCUCUCUCUCUUUUUAUAUGCUCCUUGAUUUGGAAUCGGUUUCACUCUUGCGUGCAUGCGUGCGUGCGUGCACACACGAAUUUUUCUUCUCGCGUGUGCGUGUGCGUGUGUAUGUGUGUUGGGCCGGCUCCCCUCCAUGAAUCUCGAGCAAAACAUGCUCGCAGACGCGUAUACAUUCGCUGUGUGUCGACGGGCCAUAUAGCAUGGCAGGGACCUCUUCUCGAGGUUGCACGCCUGUGUCGGAGUGUAUUCUGUGAGUCACCAACAAGCAAAAGUGUCCACAGUGGCGUCCGUUGUGCCCAAUCACCACCAACAUCACACACCGCGUAUCUCUGUGCGCUUUUCUAUAUUUACUUUAUUCUCUCGUUUCAGCUCCGAGUGCGCUUUCUAAUCCUUUAUUGAAAAAGGAAAGGUCGCAGAAGACACAAAGUAC
rnacentral:misc_RNA from 1 species